AGUACCUGCACAAUGAUUUAUGCUCGAUUCACACGCUUUUAAUAAAAUAAACGUUAACAGACCAUUCGAUGAAACAAAUGAAUAAAGAAAACAGAAUAUUAUCUAUAUAAUUGAUAAAUAUAAGCUACAAAAUAGAACCAUAAAACAGCAGGGUUCAUUAACACAAUCAAUCAGUCUAUUAAAACAAAUUUGAGGUUAGUUGGUACAUGUAAAUUCAUGUUAGAUUUCAUCACAUAGACUCAUAACCUCUUUCAAUGCUGUAUCUGUUAUAUAUUAAGCCUACGGAAAAGAUAUAUUAAAAUUGUGAAGAAGGAAAUAUAAAAGAAUGCGGUGUGUUACGACAUUUAAGAGUAAAUUAUUACCAGUAUUUCGUCAUAAUGCAACGAUUAGUCGAUCGUUUUACAGAAAUCAUCGUCUUGAAACAUAUAAUACAUUACCGGUUUAUUUUAAACCGCAAUUUCCUCGAACGGAACUUUCUAAUCAAAAACUUGGAAUAUUAAGUCGAAAUAUUCGAAAUCAUAGACAGUGUGCAGCUGUUACAUCUAUUAAAUUAUUUUCAACUAAGAAAUCUGAUAGAGAUCCUCCAAACGAUAAUGAUCCAGAGCAAUCAGAGGACUAUUCAGCUACUUUACCUGCUACAGUGGUUGUACCAGAAGUAUGGCCUCAUGUACCUGUUAUUGCAAUCAGUAGAAAUCCUGUUUUUCCUAGGUUUAUCAAGCUUAUAGAACUUUCUAAUCCUAUUCUUAUCGAUUUAAUACGUAGGAAGGUUAAAUUAAAUCAGCCUUAUGUCGGAAUAUUUUUAAAGAAGACCGAAGAAAAUGAAGCAGAGAUUGUACAAAAUAUCGAUGAUAUCUAUUCUGUUGGUACAUUUGCACAAAUUCACGAAGUACAAGAUUUAGGAAAUCGCUUAAGACUUGUAAUAAUGGCACACCGAAGAAUUAAAAUUGUUGGACAAAUUCUAGAAGAUGUUGCUGCUAUACAACCAGUGCAUGAGAUGAAACUGACGUUUCCACUAUUAAAUACAACAAUUAACGUCCCUGUAGACGAUUCAAUGACUGCUGGUAAAGUGAGCCGUAGAACAGCAUUACGUAAAAAGUCAGAAAAGACAUCUGGUCCGUUAGAAAAAUUAGAUAAUUCAAGCACAGAAAAUAUUGUACCGAAUAAACCACUAACGGAAGAAAAACAAACAGAACCCUCUACCGAAUCCACGACAUCAGAAUCUCAGCCAAUUUUAAUGGUAGAAGUUGUAAAUGUUACGCAUGAAAAAUUUAGACAAACAGAAGAAAUUAAGGCACUUACACAAGAAUUAAUUAAAACUAUUAGAGAUAUCAUAAGUAUGAAUCCAUUGUACCGAGAAUCUCUGCAACAAAUGCUUCAUCAAGGACAAAGAGUGGUCGACAAUCCAGUUUACCUGAGUGAUUUGGGUGCUGCUUUAACAGGAGCAGAUGCACAAGAACUGCAGCAAGUGCUAGAAGAAAUGGAUAUUCUUAAAAGAUUGAGAUUAUCGCUUGCACUGCUCAAAAAGGAGUAUGAAUUAAGUAAAUUACAACAAAAGAUUGGUAGGGAAGUUGAGGAAAAAGUAAAACAACAACAUAGAAAAUACAUACUGCAUGAACAGUUAAAGGUCAUUAAGAAAGAACUAGGUUUAGAAAAGGAUGACAAAGAUGCAAUAGAAGAAAAAUAUAGAGAGAAAAUAAGACAAAAAACAGUUCCUAAACCUGUUAUGGAUGUAUUAGAUGAAGAAUUAAAUAAAUUAAGUUUUUUAGAAAGUCAUAGUAGUGAAUUUAAUGUUACAAGAAACUAUUUAGAUUGGUUAACUUCAAUGCCUUGGGGUGUAACUAGUCCAGAAAAUUUAAAUUUGCAACAAGCUGUAGAAAUUUUAGAUGAAGAUCACUAUGGAAUGGAAGAUAUAAAAAAAAGAAUUCUUGAAUUUAUUGCUGUCAGCCAAUUGAAAGGUUCAACUCAGGGAAAAAUAUUGUGUUUCCAUGGUCCUCCUGGAGUAGGAAAAACAUCUAUAGCUAAAUCGAUAGCUCGAGCACUUAACAGAGAGUAUUUCAGAUUUAGCGUUGGAGGAAUGACAGAUGUGGCAGAAAUUAAAGGACACAGAAGAACAUAUGUAGGAGCCAUGCCUGGAAAAGUUAUUCAAUGCUUAAAAAAGACCCAAACUGAAAAUCCAUUAGUGCUGAUAGACGAAGUAGAUAAAAUUGGAAAGGGACAUCAAGGAGACCCUGCUUCUGCCCUUUUAGAAAUGUUGGAUCCAGAACAAAAUGCAAAUUUCUUAGAUCAUUAUUUGGACGUUGCAGUUGACCUAUCAAAAGUUUUGUUUAUAUGUACGGCGAAUGUGGUUGAUACUAUCCCAGAACCUCUUAGAGAUCGAAUGGAAAUGAUCGAGAUGUCCGGUUAUGUAGCAGAAGAAAAACUCGCAAUUGCUAAACAAUAUUUAAUACCACAGGCUAUGAGUGAUAGCGGGCUUAACGAUUCACAUAUUACUAUGCAAGACAAUUCACUUACAUCUUUGAUUAAAUAUUAUUGUCGAGAGUCAGGAGUUAGAAAUCUUCAGAAACAUAUAGAAAAAAUUCACCGUAAAGUGGCUUUCAAAGUCGUUAAGAAAGAAAUAGACAAAGUUGAUGUAACUGCGAGCAAUUUACAUGACUUUGUAGGAAAACCUGUAUUUACACAAGACAGAAUGUAUGAAAUUACACCUCCAGGUGUAGUCAUGGGUCUUGCAUGGACUGCCAUGGGAGGUUCUACAUUGUUUAUCGAAACUGCUAUUCGAAAACCUACGAAUACAAACAAGAUGGAGGGUACAUGUGAAUCUACUGGCCAUUUAGGAGAAGUUAUGAAAGAAUCGAUACAUAUAGCGAUGACAGUAGCUAAGAACUUUUUAAAAAAUGUAGAUCCAUCAAACACAUUUUUAUAUGAUUCUCAUAUACAUUUACACGUUCCUGAAGGAGCUACUCCAAAAGAUGGACCAAGUGCAGGUGUAACUAUUGCAACAGCAUUAAUUUCUCUUGCUAAAAAUCAAGCUAUUAGACAAGAUGUUGCUAUGACAGGAGAACUUAGUUUAAUAGGAAAAGUUCUCCCUGUUGGUGGUAUUAAAGAAAAGACAAUUGCGGCAAAAAGAGUAGGUGUUACGUGCGUAAUAUUACCGGAGGAAAAUAAGAAAGAUUUCAAUGAUCUUCCAAAAUAUAUAACCGAUGGUCUUGAGGUUCAUUUUGCUUCAACAUUUGAAGACAUUUAUCGUAUAUGUUUUCUAGAAGGACAAAAAGCUCCAACUCUUAGUAAUGAUGAAACAUUUUCCAAUAUUCAUAUAUCAUCCGAACAACCAGCACCUCUAAUUGGUAAACAGGAUUCUUUAUGAAAAUAUACUUUAUUAUAUAUAGUGUAUUGAAAGUUGGAUAUAUUCACUGAUAAUGGAGGCUGCUAAGUUAGUCGUACACAAGACAGUUGAAUUGGUCAUUUUUACUUCAUUUUUAAAUGCUAUUGAAAAACAUGUAUAAAAACUGUAAAAUGUGACAGAAUUUUUCUAUAUUGUUAUGUACUGUCAGAUAGUAUAAUUAUAGAAAACAGUUUAUGUUUCAUUAUAUAUUUUUAUAAUUAAUAUUCAUUUAACGAACGUAAGAUUCUACACAAAGAUCAGUGUAGUAAUUAACAAUAUUAAACACGAUGUAUAAUAUUUUUCAAGAACAGUUAAAAACAUACAUCAGGGAUAUAGCUAUAUCAUUAAUUUAUAUAAAUCUAUUAUAUAAUUAAGAGAAAUAAAAUAAUGCUGUUGUUGGAAUUAAUAACAUUUAUUAUCUGGAUUAAUAAACAUAUAUAAUGAAAUAAAUAUGAGUAAUAUAGUAUGAAAUAAAUUAAAAGUUACAAAAUAUUAACAAAGAGAGAAAGACAAGUAAAAAAGAGAAGAAAGAAAAACAGACAAUCCUCAAAUUGAGGCAAGAUGUCUCCAUUUGUGUUUCCAAAUCUUGGAACAAAUAAAGACUAUACAGAUAUAGAAUAAAUUUAAUGCAAAUUUCUCGAAAAAGAGAAUUAUAUUGAAGUAUAUAACAACUGUGACAGUUGCAAAGUAAGCGAGGUUGAAAAUGAUCAAUAAAUAUAACCCCUGCCGCUUAAAGAAACGUUAUCCCUUUAGCCGAUCAGCUGCGACGUGAAUCACGCGAAAUGAAGGAAUAUUAAAAGAGAGAAAACAAAAAAAAAAGGAAGAAGGAAAAUGAGGAAGAGAAAAGGUCGUUAGAAGAAAUAACGAACGCAUAUAAUACGUAUUACG